UGAAGUGACAAUGAGGUCUGUCUAAGUCUAAGUCUGAGUCUAAGUGUGUGUUUCCAGACUGUAACUGUGACCCAGAUGGCAGCUCUUCUCCUCAUUGCUCUGAUUCUGGUUUCUGUCGCUGUAAACCUGGAGCCACAGGGAGGCGCUGUGAUUCCUGUCUUUCUGGUUUCACCUGGCGGGGAGGUGGAACUGGAUGCACAGAGAACGUAUGUGACACGGAACGUCUCUGUCAGAACGGUGGAACCUGCGUUGAUUUCCAGCGCUGCGUCUGUCCAAAUAACUCCACAGGUCAGCUUUGCGAGCAGAGUGUCUGUAAGGAGAAGAGUGGCUGCAUCAUAAAGGCUGAGGGCUCCUCCUCCUGCAUGACAUCACAGCUUUACCUGGUGACCUUCAGUUUUAUCAGCUACACUUUCAGCUGACCAUGCCCCCUUCACCAACCAUGACA